GAGUCAAGGUUUAGGGCCCAAGGCUGCAGGAAGACAUGGUGAAAUGUUUAGCCAGAAUAACUGAAAACAAUGUCAUUAAGAAUAAAAAGUAAAAAUUGCGAUCAAGAAAAAAAGCAGAAACCAGACCUAGAGAAGCAGUUGCAAACCUCAGGUUUUAGAAGAGAUACAUGUCUGAAGAAAUAAGUAAGUUGAGAGGUCAAAUGCCUGGGCUGUCAAGAACAGAUCUGGGAGCAGAGGGUAAGAUAGGUCAGCUGGGGGAGGAGCCAAGAUGGCCGAAUAGGAACAGCUCCGGUCUACAGCUCCCAGCGUGAGCGACGCAGAAGACGGGUGAUUUCUGCAUUUCCAUCUGAGGAUGAUUAACAGCAUUCAAGGUGGUGGCUACACAUCACAUCAGCCUGGAUUCUCAAGUAGGAAGAUAUGCAACAGAGCAUCCAGCUGACCUUCACUGGAUAUGUUCCCUCUAAAGACCCCAGGCAUGCAGCAAUAUGGUGGGGAUGCAUACUACAGCUGAGCUCUGGACAGGAGGUUUUCCAUUUUAUAAGAAACUCAAACCACCAAGAAAACCAGCUUAUCCCACAAAAUAUUUUUACACUUCUCUAGAACUCAGUAAGAGGCCCUCAAUGGAUUGGAUGAUGCCUGUCCACGGUCCACAUCGGUGAGGGUGAUUGUCUUUACUCAGCCUAUUGAUUCAAACACUAAUCUCUUCUGGAAACACUCUCAGACUCACCCAGAAGUAAUGUUUUGCCAGCCAUCGGAGCAUCCUCUGGCUUAGGCAAGUUAACACAUAGAAUUAACCAUCACAGAAGGCAACAGAAAAACCUUUAAAGAAUCAAUAGAAAAUAUGUGCAUCAGAAAAUAUUGCUGGCUUACCCAAAAGCUAUUUCCCUUUUGUUCCUUACUAACAACCCUUACUUUGUUUAUAUUUGAGGAAGUAAUGUACUCAAGGAAGUUUUGUCUCUAACCCAGCAUUCAAGGAUGCCAAGACAAUCACGUUAAUCCCAUUUCCUCUACCAGUGAUUGGUGUGGAGGUGGGCAUAUCACUGACUUCUAACCAAAAGGUCCUGAGGGGGACUUACUAAGAACUUUUCAGAAAGGUUUUUCUCCAUGAUUAAAAGAAAAAUUUUAAAGGAAA